rnacentral:rRNA from 1 species
GACGUAGGUGGCAAGCGUCGUCCGGAAUUAUUGGGCGUAAAGCGCGCGCAGGCGGCCUUUUAAGUCUGAUGUGAAAGCCCACGGCUCAACCGUGGAAGGUCAUUGGAAACUGAAAGGCUUGAGUACAGAAGAGGAAAGCGGAAUUCCACGUGUAGCGGUGAAAUGCGUAGAGAUGUGGAGGAACACCAGUGGCGAAGGCGGCUAUCUGGACAGAAACUGACGCUGAGGCGCGAAAGCUAGGGGAGCAAACAGG